rnacentral:lncRNA from 1 species
CAAUAUUGAAUUAUUUCAACAACCAACUAACCAGUACAGUAGUCUCUCUUUAAAGCUUCUAUAUAAACACUAGCCCUUAACACACUUUCACUCACUCAACUCAAGCUUCUGAACACAGCUAGCCAUAAACAAAGGCAAAAAAAAAAAAAAGAAAAAGAAAAUCUCAGGAGAAAUCUCAAAUGGCUGCCCUCAAGCUUGUUUCAGCUUUGGUUCUGUGCAUGUUGGUGACUGGUCCCCUGAGUGCUCAGGCCAUAACAUGUGGGCAGGUGAGUGGCUCAUUGGCACCAUGCAUCGGUUUCUUGAGAUCGGGCGGCCCUAUACCUAUGCCAUGCUGCAACGGCGUCAGGUCUCUCAACGCUGCCGCCAGAACCACACCUGACCGCCAAACUGCAUGCAACUGCUUGAAGCAAGCCGCCAGAUCAAUCCCUAGCCUCAACCUUAAUAAUGCUGCUGGUCUUCCAGGAGCUUGUGGAGUCAGCAUUCCUUACAAGAUCAGCACCUCCACUGACUGCUCUAAGU